rnacentral:lncRNA from 1 species
GCAGCCAGCUGCGUCAUUGUGCUGAUGAAUAGCUGCUGCUGUGCAUCUAGCAGCAUGCCAUCGAGCAUCGGUGGCACCUUGCUGCCGCCGGGCCCCACCCACUCUUUGCAGUAGUGGUCCUUAAUGAUCUUCUUGAGCUUCGCCUUGAUGUCUGGCACGGUUGGCGCUUGCACAGCCUCCCAGUAUUCGCUGUAGACGAUAGAGAAC